UCGGCUCUCGCAUCGAUGAAGAACGUAGCGAAAUGCGAUACUUGGUGUGAAUUGCAGAAUCCCGUGAACCAUCGAGUCUUUGAACGCAAGUUGCGCCCGAAGCCAUUAGGCCGAGGGCACGUCUGCCUGGGCGUCACGCAUCGCGUCGCCCCCGCACACCG
rnacentral:rRNA from 1 species